rnacentral:tRNA from 1 species
AAGCCCCGGCACCCUUUCUGGGUGCUUGCCAGAUUUGCACUCUGG